GACGAACGCUGGCGGCGUGCUUAACACAUGCAAGUCGAACGAUGAUAUUCUCUCUUUCUCCUCUGGUUUAGUGUCGCACAGGUGAGUAUCACGUGAGCAAUCUGCCCCUGCCUCCGGGAUAACUCCUGGGAACUCUAGCUCAUACACGAUAUACGCCGUACAAGCGUCUGUUUCGGUGGGGAAAAAGGUCGGUUACGGCUGCGCUCGCGGCUUAUCAGCUUGUUGGUGCGGUAACGGCACACCAAGGCGCCGACGGGUAGCCGGCCUGAGAGGGUGACCGGCCACAUUGGGACUGAGACACGGCCCAGACUCCUACGGGAGGCAGCAGUGGGGAAUAUUGCACAAUGGGCGCAAGCCUGAUGCAGCAACGCCGCGUGCGGGAUGACGGCCUUCGGGUUGUAAACCACUUUAGGCAGGGAAGAAGCGAAAGUGACGGUACCUGCAGAAAAAGCGACGGCUAACUACGUG
rnacentral:rRNA from 1 species